rnacentral:miRNA from 1 species
CAGGAUCCACAGAGCUAGUCCA